rnacentral:lncRNA from 1 species
UCACCUGCUGUAACCAUAGAUUCAAAGUUGCUCCAUGAAAGUAAUAAAUGAAAAAUGGUGAUUUUUUAGCAUGUAAAUUUUAGGAAAUUUCCCCAGUUACGCUUAAUGGCUUGAUUUAGUGUGUAUGUUAUUUUUGAAAACAUAUGUUGGGAUGUCACAAAUGGACUUAGCCUACAGAGAUUUAUAUUCAACUUUUGACCAGAGAGUUCCAUUUUAAUGUGACACUGAGAGUAAAAAACUAUCUUUUCCUCCUUACCUAUUUCUCUUCCUACAUUCUCGGCCAGGAGGAAGGCACUGCUACAUACCCAGUCUUCCCCAGCAGAGCCUGAGCAGCUCUGUUUUCCUUCUACUUCCCCUCUUCUUUCACAUCUCAUGACCAAGCACUUCCUAUUCUGUCUCCCAAAUGAUCACAGAUUUUUUCCUCCACUUUUGUCACUGCCACUGCCCUUAGCAUUACUCUGCCUUUAGAGAAAGUCUCUUAAUUGGUUUGGUUGCUUCCUUCAGUCUUUAUUAUACAGACCACUACACGCACAUCUGACAGAGACUUUUCACCUUUUUAUGGUUGAAUGACUGAAAUUCCCAGAAUAAAAUUAAAACCACCCCAGCAUCAAAUUUGAGGUCAAAUAGAGGUGGGUUUGUAUCCCAGGUUCAUAUACUGUCCAGCAGUAUGGUCUCAGAAAACUGACCUCCUUAAGCCUUUGUUUGUGUAUCUGCCUACACUCAUUGAGAGUUGGGACUAUUUCACACAUACAGUGCCUGGCAUGUAGAAGGGACUUAAUGUUGAAAGAAGGGGAGGCAUUUUAAAAUCCACAUCAAAAAAAUGUUGUUCUGUUCGGGAGUGGUGGCUCACGCCUGCAAUCCCAGCACUUUGGGAGGCCAAGGCAGGUGGAUCACCUGAGGUCAGGAGUUCGAGAUCAACCUGAGCAACAUGGUGAAACCCCAUCUCUACUAAAAAUACAAACAUUAGCUGAGCAUGGGGGCGGGAUCCUGUAAUCCCAGCUACUUGGGAGGCUUAG